GAACCGACCACUCUCCCUCUCUCAUUCACUAUCAUCUUUUUUGAAAACUCUCUCAAAGUUUUCUCUCAAUGUUCAACCUCAAGAACACCAAGGAAACUUGGAGGCUAAGUCUUGGUCUAGGAAGUAUUUUCCCUAAGGGUUUUUGAAAGGUUUUGGAGGAGCCAAAGCUAAUAGGAAGGUCCAAACCUUAAGCAAGAACACCAAAAAGCAUUGGCUAAGCAUAACUGGACUGAACGUUUGAAGGUGAAAACCUGCUGAGCGCUAAGGACUCCAAGUAAG